UACGAAGGGGGGCUAGCGUUGCUCGGAAUCACUGGGCGUAAAGCGCACGUAGGCGGAUCUUUAAGUCAGGGGUGAAAUCCUGGAGCUCAACUCCAGAACUGCCUUUGAUACUGGGGGAUCUCGAGUCCGGGAGAGGUGAGUGGAACUGCGAGUGUAGAGGUGAAAUUCGUAGAUAUUCGCAAGAACACCAGUGGCGAAGGCGGCUCACUGGCCCGGUACUGACGCUGAGGUGCGAAAGCGUGGGGAGCAAACAGG
rnacentral:rRNA from 1 species